AAUGAACGUUGGCGGCGUGGAUUAGGCAUGCAAGUCGCGCGAGAACUGUAGCAAUACAGGGAAAGCGGCGUAAGGGACAGUAAUACCCAGAAACGUACCCCCGGGUCUGGGAUAGCGGCGGGAAACUGCCGGUAAUACCAGAUAACGUCUCCGGGCCAAAGGUGUGAUUCCACCUGGGGAGCGGUCUAGGCCCGAUUGGCUUGUUGGUGGGGUAACGGCCUACCAAGGGAAAGAUGGGUAGCAGGUGUGAGAGCACGACCUGCGUCACUGGGACUGAGACACUGCCCAGACACCUACGGGUGGCUGCAGUCGAGAGUCUUCGGCAAUGGGCGCAAGCCUGACCGAGCGACGCCGCGUGCGGGAUGAAGGCCUUCGGGUUGUAAACCGCUGUCGAAGGGGAUGAAAUUCCGGAGGGUUCUCUCUCCGGAUUGACAGAUCCUUGGAGGAAGGACGGGCUAAGUUCGUGCCAGCCGCCGCAGUAACAC
rnacentral:rRNA from 1 species